rnacentral:rRNA from 1 species
GAAGGCUGAGCUGUGAUAGCGAGGGAAAUAUAGUACCGAAGUUCCUGAUUCCACACUGCCAAGAAAAGCUUCUAGCGAGAUAAAAGGUGCCCGUACCGCAAACCGACACAGGUAGGCGAGGAGAGAAUCCUAAGGUGAGCGAGAGAACUCUCGUUAAGGAACUCGGCAAAAUGACCCCGUAACUUCGGGAGAAGGGGUGCUCUUUUGGGUGUUAAAGCCUAGAAGAGCCGCAGUGAAUAGGCCCAGGCGACUGUUUAGCAAAAACACAGGUCUCUGCAAAGCCGCAAGGCGAAGUAUAGGGGCUGACGCCUGCCCGGUGCUGGAAGGUUAAGGGGAGAGGUUAGCGCAAGCGAAGCUUUGAACCGAAGCCCCAGUAAACGGCGGCCGUAACUAUAACGGUCCUAAGGUAGCGAAAUUCCUUGUCGGGUAAGUUCCGACCCGCACGAAAGGCGUAACGAUCUGGGCACUGUCUCAACGAGAGACUCGGUGAAAUUAUAGUACCUGUGAAGAUGCAGGUUACCCGCGACAGGACGGAAAGACCCCGUGGAGCUUUACUGUAGCCUGAUAUUGAAUUUUGGUACAGCUUGUACAGGAUAGGUAGGAGCCGUAGAAACCGGAGCGCCAGCUUCGGUGGAGGCAUCGGUGGGAUACUACCCUGGCUGUAUUGAAAUUCUAACCCAUACCCCU